GCCCGGAUGGUCUAGUGGUAAGAAACCCCCACCAUAAACAUGUCAUCCCGUUCCGACACUAACUCCUCAAAAAGGUAUGAUUCUCGCUUUGGGAUAAAAAUGCGAGAGGUCCCCGGUUCAAACCCGGGUUCGGGCC